CUCCUACGGGAGGCAGCAGUGGGGAAUCGUUGCGCAAUGCGCGAAAGCGUGACGCAGCAACGCCGCGUGGGGGAAGAAGGGCUUUCGGGGUUGUUAAACCCCCGUUUUCAACGUUUGGGACGAAGGCUUCUUCGGUUAAUAGCCGAACGGAGUGACGGUACCUUCACAAGAAGCACCGGCUAACUACGUGCCAGCAGCCGCGGUAAUAC
rnacentral:rRNA from 1 species